CCUACGGGGGGCAGCAGUGAGGAAUAUUGGUCAAUGGCCGGAAGGCUGAACCAGCCAUGCCGCGUGAAGGUCAGUGCCCUAUGGGCGUUAAACUUCUUUUGUGCGGGAGCAAUACUGGUCACGUGUGGCCAGACGAGAGUACCGUACGACUAAGCAUCGGCUAACUCCGUGCCAGCAGCCGCGGUAAUACGGGGGAUGCAAGCGUUAUCCGGAUUUAUUGGGUUUAAAGGGUGCGUAGGCUGGGAGGUAAGUCAGCGGUGAAAUGCCCCGGCUCAACGGGGUGAAGUGCCAUUGAUACUGCCUGGCUGGAAUGCGGAAGCCGUGGGAGGAAUGUGUGGUGUAGCGGUGAAAUGCAUAGAUAUCACACAGAACACCGAUUGCGAAGGCAUCUCACGAAUCCGCGAUUGACGCUGAGGCACGAAAGCGUGGGUAUCAAACAGGAUUAGAUACCCUUGUAGUC
rnacentral:rRNA from 1 species